AGGACGAACGCUGGCGGCGCGCCUAACACAUGCAAGUCGAGCGAGAACCAGGACUUCGGUCUUGGGGACAGCGGCGAACGGGUGAGUAACACGUGGAUAACCUGCCCUCGGCACCGGAAUAGCCCGGGGGAAACUCGGAUUAAUGCCGGAUAGCCCCACAGCCCGCAGGGGCGGUGGGAAAAGGUAGCUUCGGCCUCUGGCCGAGGAUGGGUCCGCGGCGGAUUAGCUAGUUGGUGGGGUAACGCCCACCAAGGCGACGAUCCGUAGCUGGUCUGAGAGGACGAACAGCCACACUGGGACUGAGACACGGCCCAGACUCCUACGGGAGGCAGCAGUGGGGAAUAUUGCGCUAAUGCGGGAAACGUGACGCAGCGACGCCGCGUGAGGGAAGAAGCUUCGGUGUAACCUCUUCAGGAGGAAGAAGCUACUCGGUUAAUAGACCAGAGGUGAACGGUACCUUACGAGAACGAAGACCCCGGACUAACCGUAACGUUCGACC
rnacentral:rRNA from 1 species